rnacentral:lncRNA from 1 species
GGAGCUUUGGGCAGGUUAGGUUCCCUUUGAGGAUGCGGGGCCAGGGAAUUUAAUCUUGUCGGGGGCUCAAAAAGCUGCCUAGAGCCCUGCCAGGGAAGAAGGGAGGAGGUACUAUUCUAAGGAUCUCAAAGUAUACAGUUUCUAAUGACCCUGCAGGCAGGCUCCUUGCAAGUACAGGGGCGGGGGAGAAGAAUGCAAAGUAAGCAUGCAGUGCCAAGCAAAACUGGAACUGAGGAGAGAUGGAGCACAAGCCCAGGGGGAGGUCCACGAUGGGGAAGUUUCGCCCGCAAAAUUAGGCUCCUUUUCUGGAAGUGUGCCAUGAUACCACCAAUGGGUUUGCCCUGCUGUUCUGGAAAAUGCUGUGGUAGGUAUAAGAUUCCAACUGUUUUGAGCACGAAAGAAGAGAAGAGGAAUCAGAAUUGGAAAAGAAGUCUCUUCCC